GUAUAAGGAUUGAGAUUCUUGUGUUAAAAAAUUAAUAACAUAAAAAAUAAAAUUUCUCACUACUUACAUAAUAACACAUGGUGUACCACUUGUGUUACGGGCAUAAGGAAAAAUUUCUCCUAGAUGAGACCGAAACUCAAGAAAUUGGAUGAAGAGCUACAUUUAUUAUUGUAGGUAUGUAAAAAAUGUGAGGAAAUUUUAAUUUGGUAAUUGAAAACAACUUUUUUAAAUAUAAUUACUGAGAACAUAAUCUUCUCAAGGUUUUGAUCUAAAUGAUCACUUUUGGGUUCAUCGUUUUCGACGCAAUGGAUGCUUUUACAAGACCAAAAAAGGUCUAAGUUUCAUACCUUAUGAAACUGAACCAAGUUAAACACUAUUUAUAAAACUUGACCAAUAAGUAAACACUAUUCAUGAAAUUAUACCAAUAAGUAGACACUAUUUAUAAAACUGAACCAAUAAGUAGAUAUUAUUUAUGAAAUGAAAACUAGAAUUAUGCACUAUUUCCAAAACUAAAUCAAUAGGUGAAAACUAUUUAUGAAACUGAAUUAUACAUUAUUUAUGAAACUGGACUAAGAACUAGACAAUAUUUAUGAAACUUGACCAAGAACUAGACACUAUUUAUGAAAGUGGACCAAUAACUAGAC
rnacentral:lncRNA from 1 species